rnacentral:rRNA from 1 species
GAUGAACGCUGGCGGCGUGCUUAACACAUGCAAGUCGAACGGAAAGGCUCCUGCUUGCAGGGGUACUCGAGUGGCGAACGGGUGAGUAACACGUGGGUGAUCUGCCCUGCACUUCGGGAUAAGCCUGGGAAAAUGGGUCUAAUACCGGAUAGGACCACAUUUUGGAUGGUGUGGUGGAAAGUUUUUCGGUGUGGGAUGAGCUCGCGGCCUAUCAGCUUGUUGGUGGGGUAAUGGCCUACCAAGGCGUCGACGGGUAGCCGGCCUGAGAGGGUGUACGGCCACAUUGGGACUGAGAUACGGCCCAGACUCCUACGGGAGGCAGCAGUGGGGAAUAUUGCACAAUGGGCGCAAGCCUGAUGCAGCGACGCCGCGUGGGGGAUGACGGCCUUCGGGUUGUAAACUCCUUUCGCUAGGGACGAAGCGCAAGUGACGGUACCUGGAGAAGAAGCACCGGCUAACUACGUG